AUUGAACGCUGGCGGCAUGCCUUACACAUGCAAGUCGAACGGCAGCGCGGGGCAACCUGGCGGCGAGUGGCGAACGGGUGAGUAAUAUAUCGGAACAUACCCUAGAGUGGGGGAUAACGUAGCGAAAGUUACGCUAAUACCGCAUACGCACUAAGGUGGAAAGUGGGGGAUUCGCAAGAACCUCAUGCUCAUGGAGUGGCCGAUAUCUGAUUAGCUAGUUGGUGAGGUAAAGGCUCACCAAGGCGACGAUCAGUAGCUGGUUUGAGAGAACGACCAGCCACACUGGAACUGAGACACGGUCCAGACUCCUACGGAGGCAGCAGUGGGGAAUUUUGGACAAUGGGGGCAACCCUGAUCCAGCAAUGCCGCGUGAGUGAAGAAGGCCUC
rnacentral:rRNA from 1 species